UUUUUUUUUUUUGGACUCGAUAGUUGAUUUCUCCGUCAAGAAGUAGUUGGUACCCGAUACCCGAAGUAUUCAUGUACCAGUUGCUAAGUUAUCGGUUAUCGAUUGUUAGUUCCUUUUAUUGAUAUUUUCUUCUAGUGGUUUGUGCGUAUUAUAGUUGUAUGUUGUUUUUCUUAAUGAAUUUACACAAUUCAUUAAAGUGUUCGCUGGAGAAGGUUUUGAGAAUCGCUGGACAUACAAAGAUUUGGUGAUUGUCGGUGUUUGGCAUAUUGCAGAUUUCGCAUAUGUUGGAAUUUUCAGCCUUUAUUAAAAACAGGAGUGAGGUUAGUGCCAGUAAACCAGUGACGAGUUGGCAGUUCAGGAAAAAAUUGGGAGAAGUGUUGAUAAACUAAUGAAUAGCCAUCCUUUAUGGCCAACUUAGUGGUUAUGGAUGCCCCGACUUGAGCUGCGCAUUUUGCAAAGAAGUCUGCCCUUUCAUUAGCAGGAAUACCAAUAUGUGAAGGAGUCCAAAUAAAGGUGAGUAUAGAUAUUUUACUAUUGUUGACUUUUUUGAUAAUAUCAUUGGCUAGGUAGUUUUGUACCGAAUUGUUUUUGAGAAUUUGACACGCAUUCUUGCUGUCAGUUAGNAUGGUUGCCUUAUUGACUUUGUCUUCAAUCAUUAUAUCAAUCACUUUGUUUAUUGCAUGUAAUUCACCCAUCAGCGAUGACAUUUUUCUUGAUAUUUUAAACAGAAAAUUUUCGUCCUUGGUGAUAUUGCACACUGCACAUCCGGUCUCAUUAAUAGAAACAGAAGCGUCUGUUGCCCAAAUGGAAUGACCUGUGCUUAUUAGUUUUUGAAGUUUUUCCUGCAAAAUUGCUCUAAAGUAUUCAUUGGGUUGUGCAUUUUUGGAAGAAUUGAAUAAAUUCAUAAAAAAGGUGAUAUUUUUCCUGGGAUAUUCUGCUUUGUUGACCACAAUUUCAUCAAAAAUAUGUUUAAACUUGCUGUAAAUUAGUCCCAAGCUCGUUUUGUUUGUGGAGUUUCUGGUUAUACUGUUGUACAGUUGAGGAUUGUGACAUUUAAAUUUUAUUAAUUCUUUUGCAGUUAAGUAUUGACUUCGUUGCUCGGGUGGCAACAUAAGUGCUAAGGCAUAAAUUGUGUGUGUAGGAGUAGAUGGUGUUAGGCCAAGAUUCCUUCUUAAUAAUUGAUUUUGAAAGGUGGUGAGUUUCUUAUUUAGAUAUACAGGCAUAUGGGCCAUUGAUGAAAUGCAAUAUUCAGUUUUAGAAAAAACUAGUGAUUUUGCUAGAUUAAUUGAAAUAUUUGGGAGCAGGCCGUGUUUGUUGUUGUUGAUCAUUUUUAGUGCGUUAAUUGACGUUGUACAGGAGGAAAUUACUUCGUCAUAAUGCUCUUUCAGAGAUAAACUGUUUUUAAUGUGCCUUCCCAGAAAUUUUAUGCUGUUAACUGGAGUGAUUUGUGUGCCUUGUAGUCUGAUGUAUGGAACUUUUUUUGGGCCUUUGGCUACGUACAUGACGGCAGUUUUCUCAGCAUUGUAUUUUAGAUUAAGUCGUGAGAGUAAGUUGUGAAACUCGAUGGCUUUUUGUUGUAGAUUUAAAUUUGCCGAAUCAAAGUCUUUGUGAGCAGAUAACAAAAUAAAGUCAUCCGCAAAUUGAAAAAGAUAAGUGUUGAUGUUGGAAAUUCCGUGUAAGCCCAAAGUGUAUAUGUUGAAAAGAAGAGGACUUAAACAACUGCCUUGGGGUAGUCCAUUGUAUAUUUCGAGUGAAUCAUCUCCCAUUACGAGUAUUCGACGACUUAGAAAGCUGAUUAUCCAAUCUGUAACUUCGGGUGAGCAUUCGAUCUCCUGCAGAAUUUUGUGGAGUAUUUCUAUUUUGACGCAAUCAUAGGCUUUUUCAACAUCCAAAGAAAGAAUAAUUACUUUUUCACCCAUAUUUUUGUGAUGAUUAAUAGUGUGCAAAAUGUUGUUGAUACACAUAGAUGAGGACAUGUGUUUU
rnacentral:sRNA from 1 species